rnacentral:rRNA from 1 species
AUGGGUCGUUAUAGUGGGUUCAUUGCGAUGUAUGCUACUCUUGCAAGUCGGGAUGUGGAUUGCUGCUUGACUCCAGAGUCUCCAUUUUAUAUGGAUGGGGAAGGGGGGUUGCUUCAAUAUGUAGAGAGGAGGCUGAACGAGAACAAGCACAUGGUUAUUGUUGUUGCUGAGGGAGCAGGCCAGGAUAUUAUUGCCAAAAGCAUACCCGCUUCAGAUCAGCAAGAUGCAUCUGGAAAUAAACUGCUUCUUGAUAUUGGUCUCUGGCUGACUCACAAGAUUAAGGAUCACUUCAAGAGCAAAAAGAUGGAGAUGACGAUUAAAUACAUUGAUCCUACCUACAUGAUCCGAGCUAUUCCGAGUAAUGCAACAGAUAAUGUCUACUGCACACUGCUGGCUCACAGUGCCAUCCAUGGCGCAAUGGCGGGAUACAGCUUCACUAUUGUGAUGGUCAAUGGCAGACAUGCCUACAUACCUUUCUAUAGGGUGACGUCCACGCGGAACAAGGUGAAGAUCACUGACCGGAUGUGGGCGAGGCUGUUGUCACCGACCAACCAGCCAAGCUUCUUGAGCCAGAAGGACAUUGACGAGGCCAGGGAGGCCAAUAGGUUGGCCAACAAGCCGCCGCUGCCAUCUGUCGCCAACCACAAUGUGACAAAAGCCUUUGACCAAUCUGCAUCGACUUCGUCGAACGGCGAGAUAUAG